GAGUUUGAUCCUGGCUCAGAACGAACGCUGGCGGCGCGUUUUAAGCAUGCAAGUCGAACGGUAGUAGAGUGCUUGCACUCUAUGAGAGUGGCGAACGGGUGAGUAACACGUAGGUGAUCUAUCUUGAGGGCUGGGAUAGCCUGUGGAAACACAGGGUAAUACCGGAUACGACCUUAUGGCCAAAGCCAUAAGGGGAAAGUCGCUUAGGCGACGCCUUAAGCUGAGCCUGCGGCUCAUUAGCUAGUUGGUGGGGUAAUGGCCUACCAAGGCGACGAUGAGUAGCCGGCCUGAGAGGGUGAUCGGCCACACUGGGACUGAGACACGGCCCGGACUCCUACGGGAGGCAGCAGCUAAGAAUCUUCCGCAAUGGGGGAAACCCUGACGGAGCGACGCCGCGUGAACGAAGAAGGCCGGAAGGUUGUAAAGUUCUUUUCCUGGGGGAGAAUAAUACCUGGAGGUAAUGCCAGGUAGAUGACGUGAACCAGGGAAUAAGCCCCAGCUAAUUACGUGCCAGCAGCCGCGGUAAUACGUAAGGGGCAAGCGUUGUUCGGAUUUAUUGGGCGUAAAGGGCGUGUAGGCGGUGAGAUAAGUCUGGUGUGAAAGACCCCGGCUCAACCGGGGGGGCCGCGCUGGAAACUGUCUUACUAGAGUGAUGGAGGGGGAACUGGAAUUCCUGGUGUAGGGGUGAAAUCUGUAGAGAUCAGGAAGAACACCGGAGGCGAAGGAGUUUCUGGCCAUCUACUGACGCUGAGGCGCGAAAGCGUGGGGAGCGAACAGGAUUAGAUACCCUGGUAGUCCACGCUGUAAACGAUGUGCACUAGGUGUUGGUCCGUUGAGGAUCAGUGCCGUAGCUAACGCGUUAAGUGCACCGCCUGGGGAGUAUGCUCGCAAGGGUGAAACUCAAAGGAAUUGACGGGGGCCCGCACAAGCGGUGGAGCAUGUGGUUUAAUUCGAUGAUACGCGAGAAACCUUACCAGGGCUUGACAUAGGCACGACGGUUGUAGAGAUACAGCUUCUCUUCGGAGCGUGUUUACAGGUGCUGCAUGGCUGUCGUCAGCUCGUGCUGUGAAGUGUUGGGUUAAGUCCCGCAACGAGCGCAACCCUUGCUGUCUGUUGCCAACAGGUAAUGCUGGGGACUCAGACGGUACUGCC
rnacentral:rRNA from 1 species